GCCCACCUACGACACACAAAGCGUCCGGCCCGGCUGUCUUCUGUGGCCAUCGUGUCCUCCAAAGUGUCUCCUAAUAAUCCUCCUGCAUUCUUCGUUAUCGACGAGAAACUGUUCAAAUUGCCGAGGAUAACGCGGUUUCCGGUCGCGAGUGAUGUCCAACGGAUGUGCGCCGGGUGUCCGACGUGGUACAACCGGAAAUUGAAAGACUCUUGACGAAAGUGCACGAUAAGACUUCGAAGCCAUGUCUAUCGAAUUGAAUUGCUACGGUACUCGGUGGAACAGAAUCUCAGCAAAUUCUCAACAAUUCUGCGAGACAAGGAGAUGGCACCUUCGAUCGGGUCACCUUCCGAGAUUCAUAAUCGUGGGGAUUUACGCGUGGAAUCUGCAAGAAUGCGUCACAGAAUCUCGACAGCUGUUUUACAAAGUAUUGCAGAUUGUUUGCACGUGCGCCAACCCCUACAACUUAAGCCUAAUUAUAUAAACCAACAAGGGACGCAGUAACGGUAGACGUGUAGAGUAUCGAAAAUUAUUCGAUAUUCUUUGUAGCUGCCUGUUUUACGAAUAUGAAAACCCGUGGCUACCGAAAGAUAUGCGCCGAAUAUUUUUUUGCUGGUGUACAACCACCGCGGUUAGGCGAAAUCCCUUGGAGGCUUGCAAGACUGCUGCGGUUAGGCCAACGGAACCGGAAGGGGAAACAUCUUGUUGGUUCGAAGCGAAUAAGAAGGCAGAGGUACUGACUUCUGUGCGUGCUGGGGUAUGCUGUCGACUUCCUAGCACCAUUUGAAAUCAGUACUACUCUUCUUAGCAAUCCACAACGAAGGAACCAGAGGAAGCUGAAGAUCGAGGAGGGAUACAUGUGUGUUUGUGUGUGCGCGUUGUGUAUAUAACCACGACAAACACGCGGGAUAAUCGUUGUCGGUAUUAAAACUGUUACCAGUCGCUUUAUGUAUCCUCUUCUUUCUCUUUAGUACACAAUGUUCUCGGGUGAGUCUCGCUCCGUGUGUUACAAAAGCGUUUGUGCGACGAUAUACACGGUGUCCGCGUGAUCAUUGUCUAAUCUUAGAUCGUUCGAACAGUCUCACGACUCGCGUAUAAUUACAAUCGUAAUGCGUAUACUUAUACAUAUUAGGUCGAGUCAGAAACAAUUCUCAGUUUCUACGAAUUGUAAUGUCGAGUAUAUCAUCCGAACGGUUCAUCGCAUUAAAGUCGUUGCGAAUAUAUUAUUUGUUGUUUAUUCUAGUGAUAAAUAAAGUCGCUUUACUAAAAUUGAAAUGAUUUGUGACUCGACCUAAUAUAUGAGCCAUCCACUUGCCAAAUCGGUCAACUUCCUUGAUUAAUUACGUUCUAUGGAAUUGUAAUUUUAUGGUAUCAUUUUUCUCUAUGUUGAUCGACUUGGCAAACGAGUGGCUCAUAUACAGGGCAUACCAAAUAAAGUGUUGCAAAUUUCUUGGAACCCUUUUUAACCUGUACGACAGGGAAAGAGAAUCGAACGAAUUGUAACACUCCAUUUGUACCGUCAAGUAUAUGGUGCAUGUGUCAGCCAAGAACCACUAAAUUCAUUUUGGACCACGCUGAAUGGUUGUAUCAGAGAAAGAGAGAAGCAUUCGUCGAAAGUGGGCGUCCAAAAAUGAUUCUCAUUGUCUUGGAUCAACGAAAAUCUUCUUUAGUGAAUUCUUUGGCUGAACAAAGAGGAUAUAUGUUGUAUCUACAUGUCUAUCUAUAGCUAUUUAUUUGUAUGUACACACCAUCGUUCAAGAGCUCAGAAACAACUCCAUAAAUAAAAUCGACUUGGGGAACUUGCGAAAAGUCCUCCGCGAAAAAUAUUUGUCUGAAUAUUGUCCGAGUCUCGAACGAUGGUGUAUGUAUAAACAUCAACAUUUAUGCGAAUAUAAUCACUACACGUACACCGUCCGUUUGCGUUACAAUGCGGAACAGGACGAGCGGCUUUAGUGUGAACGAAUCCGCUAUUAUAACUAAUUAGCGAGGCUGUAUGGGACAAUAUUGUAAUAAAUAAGUUCGGGCCGCGGAAAUCGCCGCGACAAUGGCAUAAUAAAAGAAUACGCCCGCGUCUAUGUACAAUGUAUAAGUGCCGACACUGAGAGUAGUUCGAAUACACAAGGUGUCCCAGAUAAACGGGAACAUCUAAAUA